rnacentral:ncRNA from 1 species
GGCUUGGUCCUGACUUUACUAUAAGCUUUAGCCCAACUUAUACAUGCAAGUCUCCGCGCCCCUGGUGAGAAUGCCCUCGCCUCCCAUCCAGUCGGAGAAAAGGAGCCGGCAUCAGGCACACCAYUACAAGCCCAAGACGCCUUGCUUAGCCACACCCUCAAGGGAAUUCAGCAGUAGUAAACAUUAAGACAUAAGUGAAAACUUGACCUAAUUAGGGCUAAAAGGGCCGGUAAAAUCCGUGCCAGCCACCGCGGUUACACGAAAGGCCCGAGUUUAUAAGUGCGGCGUARAGGGUGGUUAGGAAAAACCUAAAAUAAGGCUAAAGAAUCCCUAAGCAGUCAUACSCUUUACGAGAACACGAAGCCCAAAUACGAAAGUCGCCUUAUUCCCCAGCCUGACCCCACGAGAGCUGAAAAACAAACYGGGAUUARAUACCCCACUAUGCUCAGCCUUAAACCCAGAUAGAAAUUUACAAAACUAUUCGCCAGGGAACUACAAGCACAGCUUAAAACCCAAAGGACUUGGCGGUGCCUCAGACCCACCUAGAGGAGCCUGUUCUAKAACCGAUAACCCCCGUUAAACCUCACCACCCCUUGCCUUUGCCGCCUAUAUACCACCGUCGUCAGCUUGCCCUGGUGAAGGCUUUAAUAGUAAGCAAAAUGAGUUAAGCCCAAAACGUCAGGUCGAGGUGUAGCACAUGAAGUGGGAAGAAAUGGGCUACAUUUUCUAUUACAGAAUACACGAAUAACGCCCUGAAAACAGCAUCUGAAGGAGAAUUUAGUAGUAAAAAGUAAGUAGAGCGUACUUUUGAAUUAGGCUCUGAAGCGCGCACACACCGCCCGUCACCCUCCUCACAUUACAUAAACAUACCUAAUACUCAAACAUAAAAUAACAAGGAGGCAAGUCGUAACAUGGUAAGUGUACCGGAAGGUGCACUUGGAACAAUC